AGAACGAACGCUGGCGGCAUGCCUAAUACAUGCAAGUCGAACGAACUCUUCGGAGUUAGUGGCGCACGGGUGCGUAACGCGUGGGAAUCUGCCCCUUGGUUCGGAAUAACAGUUGGAAACGACUGCUAAUACCGGAUGAUGACGAAAGUCCAAAGAUUUAUCGCCAAGGGAUGAGCCCGCGUAGGAUUAGCUAGUUGGUGAGGUAAGCUC
rnacentral:rRNA from 1 species